UACAGAGGGUGCAAGCGUUAAUCGGAAUUACUGGGCGUAAAGGGUGCGUAGGUGGUUUGAUAAGUUAGGUGUGAAAGUCCUGGGCUUAACCUGGGGACUGCGCUUAAUACUGUUAAGCUAGAGUACUGUAGAGGGAGGUGGAAUUUCCGGUGUAGCGGUGAAAUGCGUAGAUAUCGGAAGGAACAUCAGUGGCGAAGGCGACUUCCUGGACAGAUACUGACACUGAGGCACGAAAGCAUGGGGAGCAAACAGGAUUAGAUACCCUGGUAGUCCAUGCUGUAAACGAUGAGGACUGGCUGUUGGACUCCGUGAGGGGUUUAGUAGCGAAGCUAACGCGUUAAGUUCUCCGCCUGGGGAGUACGGUCGCAAGACUAAA
rnacentral:rRNA from 1 species